rnacentral:misc_RNA from 1 species
GCAUCCAAAGGACAUGGCCGGUUGGCGUCAAGUCUAGCCCAGGGCUUCCCUUUACCGCUCCAAUGCAAGAGACUCACCGGACCCGGAUGUAAAUCUCUACAGAGACCUCUAAAAUUAUCUCCGCCGAGCCCGUGCUGGUUCCACCGGUGAUCAACAGGCACUAUAUUCCCUGCAAAAACCAGCAAAAAUGGCGGCAAAGAACCCAGUUCGUAUAUUCUCAUUCUCUUUUGCAGCUCCAUCCACUCCUCAAUCUUUGAAGUGUAAUCUCCAGCCCUCCAUCGAUAGAGAUCGAUGACCAUAACUCCAGUAUUAAAGUAACACGCUUUUCUAUCCGCAAAUGUGAGUGAUAAAGAAGGGUUAGACCAGAAAGUUGGUGUGAAAUAAAUAGUGAAAUUCGCAUUGCAGUACUCAGGAGCUGCAAGAACAGAUUUUUCACCCAGCGGAGUAGCGGCGAGCUUGGCAAUGUCCUCGACGAGGACGAGGGCUGAGGCGAGGGAGACGACU